rnacentral:rRNA from 1 species
GGCCGCGGGAAUUCGAUUUCUGGUUGAUCCUGCCAGACCCGACUGCUAUCAGAGUGGGACUAAGCCAUGCGAGUCGACGUAGCAAUACGUGGCGAACGGCUCAGUAACACGUAGUCAACAUGCCCAGGGGACGUGGAUAAUCUCGGAAAACUGAGAAUAAACCACGAUAGGUCACGAUUUCUGGAAUGGAUCUUGGCUUAAAUCUACAUGGCCCCUGGAUUGGACUGCGGCCGAUCAGGCUGUUGGUGAGGUAAUGGCCCACCAAACCUAUAACCGGUACGGGCUCUGAGAGGAGGAGCCCGGAGAUGGGCACUGAGACAAGGGCCCAGGCCCUAUGGGGCGCGGCAGGCGCGAAACCUCUGCAAUAGGCGAAAGCCUGACAGGGUUACUCUGAGUGAUUUCCGCUAAGGGGAUCUUUUGGCACCUCUAAAAAUGGUGCAGAAUAAGGGGUGGGCAAGUCUGGUGUCAGCCGCCGCGGUAAUACCAGCACCCCGAGUGGUCGGGACGAUUAUUGGGCCUAAAGCAUCCGUAGCCGGUUCUGCAAGUCUUCCGUUAAAUCCAGCCGCUCAACGGAUGGGCCGCGGAGGAUACUAUAGGACUAGGAGGCGGGAGAGGCAAGCGGUACUCAGUGGGUAGGGGUAAAAUCCUUUGAUCCAUUGAAGACCACCAGUGGCGAAGGCGGCUUGCCAGAACGCGCUCGACGGUGAGGGAUGAAAGCUGGGGGAGCAAACCGGAUUAGAUACCCGGGUAGUCCCAGCUGUAAACGAUGCAGACUCUGUGAUGGGCUAGCCUUGUGCCAGCCCAGUGCCGCAGGGAAGCCGUUAAGUCUGCCGCCUGGGGAGUACGGUCGCAAGACUGAAACUUAAAGGAAUUGGCGGGGGAGCACCACAAGGGGUGAAGCCUGCGGUUCAAUUGGAUUCAACGCCGGAAAUCACUAGUGAAUUC